rnacentral:rRNA from 1 species
UUGAUCCUGGCUCAGGACGAACGCUGGCGGCGUGCUUAAUGCAUGCAAGUCGCACGCACUGAUCUUCGGAACAGUGAGUGGCGCACGGCUGAGGAACACGUGGGUAACCUGCCCCGGUGUGGGGGAUAACCCGCCGAAAGGCGAGCUAAUCCCGCAUACGCUCUGCGGAGGAAAGCGGAAACGCGCACUGGGAGGGGCCUGCGGCCCAUCAGGUAGUUGGUGUGGUAACGGCGCACCAAGCCGAUGACGGGUACCUGGUCUGAGAGGACGACCAGGCAGACUGGGACUGAGACACGGCCCAGACUCCUACGGGAGGCAGCAGCAAGGAAUUUUCCGCAAUGGGCGCAAGCCUGACGGAGCAACGCCGCGUGCCGGAAGACGGCUUUCGGGUUGUAAACGGCUUUUGUUGGGGACGAUCUGGACGGUACCCAACGAAUAAGCCCCGGCUAACUCCGUGCCAGCAGCCGCGGUAAUACGGAGGGGGCAAGCGUUGUCCGGACUUACUGGGCGUAAAGCGUGCGUAGGCGGUACGGUGCGUCGGCACUGAAAGCGGAUGGCUUAACCAUCCGAGGUGUGGCGAUACGACCGAACUGGAGGCAGGGAGAGGUUCGCGGAAUUCCGGGUGUAGUGAUGAAAUGCGUAGAGAUCCGGAGGAACGCCGGUGGCGCAAGCGGCGAACUGGCCCUGACCUGACGCUGAGGCACGAAAGCGUGGGGAGCAAACCGGAUUAGAUACCCGGGUAGUCCACGCAGUAAAUGAGUUCGGCUCAGUUCGCGGUUGAUGGAACACCCAUCCCGGCGUGACUACGCUCACGCGGGUAAGCCGACCACUGUGGGACUCAGAGCGCAAGCUUAAAACUCAAAGGAAUUGACGAGGGUCCGCACAAGCAGCGGAGCGUGUGGUUUAAUUUGUCGCAACGCGCAGAACCUUACCCAGAUUUGACAUGUGCCGUGCAAGCGCACGGAAACGUGUGACCUACGAGGGUGGCACACAGGCGCUGCAUGGCUGUCGUCAGCUCGUGUCGUGAGAUGUUGGGUUAAGUCCCGCAACGAGCGCAACCCCCGCCGGUAGUUACACGUGUCUACCGGGACAGCUUCCCCUUGGGAAGAGGAAGGCGGGGAUGACGUCAAGUCCUCAUGGCCCUUACGUCUGGGGCGACACACACGCUACAAUGGGCACGACAAUGCGUUGCCACGGCGCAAGCCGGCGCUAAUCGCCAAACGUGCUCGCAGUGCAGAUCGGGGGCUGCAACUCGCCCCCGGAAGGCGGAGUUGCUAGUAACCGCGUAU